rnacentral:lncRNA from 7 species
ACACCAAGCAUCCUUUGAGCAUUGUUGAUCACUCACACUUCAUUCUUGCGCACUUAUUCGACAUUCUAGUGAUUUGAGCUCCGUUCUAGUGUGCUAGUCUCUUGAGCUCAAGUCUGGGUUUUGUGUGUGCGUAUUCGCUGUGAUCUUUGUGUCGUGUGUGAGUUGCUAAUCCCUCCCUUGCUCCGUGAUUCUUUGUGAACAUCUUUUGUAAGGGCGAGAGGCUCCAAGCUAUGGAGAUUCCUCGCAAACGGGAUUAAGAAAAGCAAAGCAACACCGUGGUAUUCAAGUUGGUCUUUGGACCGCUUGAGAGGGGUUGAUUGCAACUCUCGUCCGUUGGGACGCCACAACGUGGAGUAGGCAAGCGUUGGUCUUGGUCGAACCACGGGAUAACCACCGUGCCAUCUCUGUGAUUGAUAACUCUUGGUUAUUGUGUUGUGUUGAGAUCCUUCUCUAGCCACUUGGCAAAUUACUGUGCUAACAAUUAACCAAGUUUUGUGGCUUAAGUUUUUGAAGUUUUACAGGAUCACCUAUUCACCCCCCUCUAGGUGCUCUCACGAGGAGGCUUGUGCGGUGGAGGCAGCGCUGGGAUCCGCGGUGCGGCGCGGCUGCGGGCGUGUGGGAGGGAGCGCUGGGAUCCGCGGUGGAUGGAAGGAUGGCGAAGGAUGGAAGGAGCGGCUGCGGCGCUGGCGCGGAUGCGGGCGGUUGCGGAGCGGCUGCGUGACGCGGGCAUCUGCGCGCGGCAGAACGGGCGGCUGUGCACGCCUACACUACUAACAUAAGUAGUAGUAGAGAUAUAUAAAUGCAAAGGAUGGUGGCCCUUGUUGUC